ensembl:snRNA U6 U6 spliceosomal RNA
GUGCUCGCUUCAGCAGCACAUAUACUAAAAUUGGAAUGAUACAGAGAAGAUUAGCA